rnacentral:snoRNA from 1 species
GGUCCACCUUGGAGUUGUGUCCUGGGCUUGAUUGCCGGUGUCCUUGUUUGCACACUCAUGUGGUCCGAGA